UACGGAGGGUGCAAGCGUUAAUCGGAAUUACUGGGCGUAAAGCGCACGCAGGUGGCUGAGAAAGUCGAUUGUGAAAGCCCUGGGCUUAACCUGGGAAUUGCAGUCGAAACUACUCGGCUAGAGUAUGGGAGAGGGUAGUGGAAUUCCCGGUGUAGCGGUGAAAUGCGUAGAUAUCAGGAAGAACACCUAUGGCGAAAGCAGCUCUCUGGGACGGUACUGACGCUGAGACGCGAAAGCGUGGGGAGCGAACAGG
rnacentral:rRNA from 1 species